GACGAACGCUGGCGGCGUGCCUAAUACAUGCAAGUCGAGCGGACAGAUGGGAGCUUGCUCCCUGAUGUCAGCGGCGGACGGGUGAGUAACACGUGGGUAACCUGCCUGUAAGACUGGGAUAACUCCGGGAAACCGGGGCUAAUACCGGAUGCUUAAUUGAACCGCAUGGUUCAAUUAUAAAAGGUGGCUUCGGCUAUCACUUACAGAUGGACCCGCGGCGCAUUAGCUAGUUGGUGAGGUAACGGCUCACCAAGGCAACGAUGCGUAGCCGACCUGAGAGGGUGAUCGGCCACACUGGGACUGAGACACGGCCCAGACUCCUACGGGAGGCAGCAGUAGGGAAUCUUCCGCAAUGGACGAAAGUCUGACGGAGCAACGCCGCGUGAGUGAUGAAGGUUUUCGGAUCGUAAAACUCUGUUGUUAGGGAAGAACAAGUACCGUUCGAAUAGGGCGGUACCUUGACGGUACCUAACCAGAAAGCCACGGCUAACUACGUGCCAGCAGCCGCGGUAAUACGUAGGUGGCAAGCGUUGUCCGGAAUUAUUGGGCGUAAAGCGCGCGCAGGCGGUUUCUUAAGUCUGAUGUGAAAGCCCCCGGCUCAACCGGGGAGGGUCAUUGGAAACUGGGGAACUUGAGUGCAGAAGAGGAGAGUGGAAUUCCACGUGUAGCGGUGAAAUGCGUAGAGAUGUGGAGGAACACCAGUGGCGAAGGCGACUCUCUGGUCUGUAACUGACGCUGAGGCGCGAAAGCGUGGGGAGCGAACAGGAUUAGAUACCCUGGUAGUCCACGCCGUAAACGAUGAGUGCUAAGUGUUAGAGGGUUUCCGCCCUUUAGUGCUGC
rnacentral:rRNA from 1 species